CAUAGAUCUUUAGCUCUUUGAUGGUUAAAUCAAAGUAGGGCUAGAGCAUCGAGCUCUGAUACCACUUGUUGCCUAGCUAUGCAACCCAAGAGGAAGGGGUGAAUUGAAUUUUUAAAAUUUUAAAGUUAAUUUAGAAUCAUAAGGAUUAAAUAAUAAUAAGCAAGUUAUAUGUAGUAAGUGAUUUAAGUAAGGUAUAGAAGUGAGAUGCAAGAAUACAAAAAAAUAAAAAAUUUAGAAAGAGAGCAA
rnacentral:lncRNA from 1 species